UACGUAGGGUGCAAGCGUUGUCCGGAAUUACUGGGCGUAAAGAGCUCGUAGGCGGUUUGUCGCGUCGUCUGUGAAAACCAGCAGCUCAACUGUUGGCUUGCAGGCGAUACGGGCAGACUUGAGUAUUUCAGGGGAGACUGGAAUUCCUGGUGUAGCGGUGAAAUGCGCAGAUAUCAGGAGGAACACCGAUGGCGAAGGCGGUUCUCUGGGAAAUAACUGACGCUGAGGAGCGAAAGCGUGGGUAGCGAACAGG
rnacentral:rRNA from 1 species